GGUCCUAUAGUUUAUGCAAGCGCUAGUGGUCGCUAGAAAAGAUCUACCUAGGAUGAUUGAUAUUUAGCUGGCAUUUUUGCCAAUUUCUAUAUCUAGCACCAGAAAGUCAACAGGAAAGUAGAAUUCAUCUACUUUCACUAACACAUCUUUCAGCAUUCCAGGGGUACCUUAAUCGAUCGGUUUACUAAUUGUAGGGUUACCACCAUAGGUUUCAACUCUCUAAAUCCAAAUAGAUC
rnacentral:lncRNA from 1 species